UAGGGAAUCUUCCACAAUGGACGCAAGUCUGAUGGAGCAACGCCGCGUGAGUGAAGAAGGGUUUCGGCUCGUAAAACUCUGUUGUUAAAGAAGAACACGUAUGAGAGUAACUGUUCAUACGUUGACGGUAUUUAACCAGAAAGUCACGGCUAACUACGUACCAG
rnacentral:rRNA from 1 species